UACGAAGGGGGCUAGCGUUGUUCGGAAUUACUGGGCGUAAAGGGCGCGUAGGCGGUGAGUCAAGUCAGGCGUGAAAGCCCCGGGCUCAACCUGGGAACAGCGCUUGAGACUGGCACGCUCGAGUUCGGGAGAGGAUGGUGGAAUUCCCAGUGUAGUGGUGAAAUUCGUAGAUAUUGGGAAGAACACCGAUGGCGAAGGCAGCCAUCUGGACCGACACUGACGCUGAGGCGCGAAAGCGUGGGGAGCAAACAGG
rnacentral:rRNA from 1 species